rnacentral:rRNA from 1 species
AUUGAACGCUGGCGGCAUGCUUUACACAUGCAAGUCGAACGGUAACAGGUCUUCGGAUGCUGACGAGUGGCGAACGGGUGAGUAAUGCAUCGGAACGUGCCCAGUCGUGGGGGAUAACGCAGCGAAAGCUGUGCUAAUACCGCAUACGAUCUAUGGAUGAAAGCGGGGGAGUCGAAAGACCUCGCGCGAUUGGAGCGGCCGAUGUCAGAUUAGCUAGUUGGUGGGGUAAAGGCUAACCAAGCCAACGAUCUGUAGCUGGUCUGAGAGGACGACCAGCCACACUGGAACUGAGACACGGUCCAGACUCCUACGGGAGGCAGCAGUGGGGAAUUUUGGACAAUGGACGCAAGUCUGAUCCAGCCAUUCCGCGUGCAGGAUGAAGGCCCUCGGGUUGUAAACUGCUUUGUACGGAACGAAAAGGUUUCUCUUAAUACGAGGAGCUCAUGACGGUACCGUAAGAAUAAGCACCGGCUAACUACGUGCCAG